AUUGAACGCUGGCGGCAGGCCUAACACAUGCAAGUCGAGCGGAGCGGCGGACGGGUGAGUAAUGCCUAGGAAUCUGCCUGGUAGUGGGGGAUAACGUCCGGAAACGGGCGCUAAUACCGCAUACUAUCAGAUGAGCCUAGGUCGGAUUAGCUAGUUGGUGGGGUAAAGGCCUACCAAGGCGACGAUCCGUAACUGGUCUGAGAGGAUGAUCAGUCACACUGGAACUGAGACACGGUCCAGACUCCUACGGGAGGCAGCAGUGGGGAAUAUUGCGCAAUGGGGGCAACCCUGACGCAGCCAUGCCGCGUGAAUGAAGAAGGCCUUCGGGUUGUAAAGUUCUUUCGGUAGCGAGGCGUUAACUACAGAAGAAGCACCGGCUAACUCCGUGCCAGCAGCCGCGGUAAUUC
rnacentral:rRNA from 1 species